GUCCAGGAGGCCCAGGAGGUCCUGGGGGACCCAUGGGUCGCAUGGGAGGCCGUGGAGGAGAUAGAGGAGGCUUCCCUCCAAGAGGACCCCGGGGUUCCCGAGGGAACCCCUCUGGAGGAGGAAACGUCCAGCACCGAGCUGGAGACUGGCAGUGUCCCAAUCCGGGUUGUGGAAACCAGAACUUCGCCUGGAGAACAGAGUGCAACCAGUGUAAGGCCCCAAAGCCUGAAGGCUUCCUCCCGCCACCCUUUCCGCCCCCGGGUGGUGAUCGUGGCAGAGGUGGCCCUGGUGGCAUGCGGGGAGGAAGAGGUGGCCUCAUGGAUCGUGGUGGUCCCGGUGGAAUGUUCAGAGGUGGCCGUGGUGGAGACAGAGGUGGCUUCCGUGGUGGCCGGGGCAUGGACCGAGGUGGCUUUGGUGGAGGAAGACGAGGUGGCCCUGGGGGGCCCCCUGGACCUUUGAUGGAACAGAUGGGAGGAAGAAGAGGAGGACGUGGAGGACCUGGAAAAAUGGAUAAGCGAGCACCGUCAGGAGCGCAGAGAUCGGCCCUACUAGAUGCAGAGACCCCGCAGAGCUGCAUUGACUACCAGAUUUAUUUUUUAAACCAGAAAAUGUUUUAAAUUUAUAAUUCCAUAUUUAUAAUGUUGGCCACAACAUUAUGAUUAUUCCUUGUCUGUACUUUAGUAUUUUUCACCAUUUGUGAAGAAACAUUAAAACAAGUUAAAUGGUAGUGUGCGGAGUUUUUUUUUCUUCCUUCUUUUAAAAAUGGUUGUUUAAGACUUUAACAAUGGGAACCCCUUGUGAGCAUGCUCAGUAUCAUUGUGGAGAACCAAGAGGGCCUCUUAACUGUAACAAUGUUCAUGGUUGUGAUGUUUUUUUUUUUUUUUUAAAUAAAAUUCCAAAUGUU
rnacentral:lncRNA from 1 species